rnacentral:misc_RNA from 1 species
AUGACUUUGAUAGUUCUUGAAAGAUAUUACUGGGAGCUUGCUGUUUUGCCUCAUACAAUCAUGAAGAAUGAGUACUUUAACACUGAAAUUGUACUGGAAGACUAGAGUUAUGUUAUUUACCUAGAAUGGCUAGCUACCUCUGUUGAGGAAUACCUUGAUGCAAUAAUGUGGCAUCCUUUUUCAACGUUUUCCACAUUAAUUGAUUGUUUACUUGACUCAAUAUGUCUGUUUACAGUGCUUAA